rnacentral:rRNA from 1 species
AGAAUCAACGCUGGCGGCGUGCCUAACACAUGCAAGUCGAACGAGAAAGUGGAGCAAUCCAUGAGUAAAGUGGCGACCGGGUGAGUAACACGUGACUAACCUACCUUUCAGUGGGGAAUAACCUCGGGAAACCGGGGCUAAUACCGCAUAAUGUCUACGGACCAAAGGAGCAAUUCGCUGGAAGAGGGGGUCGCGGCCGAUUAGCUAGUUGGCGGGGUAACGGCCCACCAAGGCAAUGAUCGGUAGCCGGCCUGAGAGGGGCGCGACGGACGACGACUGGAACUGAACACGGUCCAGACUCCUACGGGAGGCAGCAGUGGGGAAUUUGCGCAAUGGGGGAAACCCUGACGCAGCAACGCCGCGUGGAGGAUGAAGUCCCUUGGGACGUAAACUCCUUUCGACCGGGACGAUAAUGACGGUACCGGUGGAAGAAGCCCGGCUAACUUCGUGCCAGCAGCCGC